rnacentral:rRNA from 1 species
UACGUAGGGUGCGAGCGUUGUUCGGAAUCAUUGGGCGUAAAGCGUGCGUAGGUGGUUUGCUAAGUCGGGUGUGAAAUCCCUGGGCUCAACCCAGGAAGUGCAUUCGAAACUAGCUCACUUGAAGAUGGUAGAGGAAGGUGGAAUUCCAAGUGUAGAGGUGAAAUUCGUAGAUAUUUGGAGGAACACCGGUGGCGAAGGCGGUUCUCUGGGCAUUACCUGACGCUGAGGAGCGAAAGUGUGGGGAGCGAACAGG